GUUUAUGUUUAGAGUAAUGAAAGCUAGUUUUUCCCGAAAAGUAAAUUUCGAAUUAUGUCACCUGUCUGACUGUAUUCUUUUAUCAUCCUCUAGUCCCCACACAAGUGAACUGACAGGAGGAACCAAGGAGGCAUGUAUCUACAAAAGUGUGUCAGAACGACUUUCCAGGUUUGAAGAUUAUGAAAAUGCUGAAUAUGUCGCUUCAUAUGACAGCAAGAUUAAGAAAAUUGUUCAUUCAAUUGUGUCAUCCUUUGCAGUUGGGCAUGUGAGACAUAGAAAACACCAUGUAUUAAAUAUACCUGAGACUUAAUGCAUAAAAAAC
rnacentral:lncRNA from 1 species